AUUGAACGCUGGCGGCAGGCCUAACACAUGCAAGUCGAGCGAGCGGCGGACGGGUGAGUAAUGUCUGGGAAACUGCCUGAUGGAGGGGGAUAACUACUGGAAACGGUAGCUAAUACCGCAUAACAUCAGAUGAGCACAGAUGGGAUUAGCUAGUAGGUGGGGUAACGGCUCACCUAGGCGACGAUCCCUAGCUGGUCUGAGAGGAUGACCAGCCCCACUUGGACUGAGACACGGUCCAGACUCCUACGGGAGGCAGCAGUGGGGAAUAUUGCACAAUGGGCGCAAGCCUGAUGCAGCCAUGCCGCGUGUGUGAAGAAGGUCUUCGGAUUGUAAAGCACUUUAAGUUGGGAGGCGUUACCAACAGAAUAAGCACCGGCUAACUUCGUGCCAGCCGCCGCGGUAAUUC
rnacentral:rRNA from 1 species